UCAGUUUUGCUUCCCAAGAUGCUCUGACGUUUUGGAGACCCUGGACGUUUUGCAGAACAGAUCUCCUUCACUCUGUGCUGAUAUCAAGGCCAAUGUUAAAAGAACAGUGUGAUCAUGCCACUUGGCACCUGCUUGUGAUCAGUUCUGAGGUUUGGAGUGCAUGGAGUAGAGUAGGAGCACAGGACUUAAGAGAUCUUCUGAAUUACCCAGCUACCUCAGUUAGUGCCUCUCAUUCCCAGGCUUCACACUGGAAAACCCUUUACCAGAAGCAGAGUAAAUGACUCUGUAAUAAUGCUUUGCCUAUCUCCACAGCUGUAAUUGUCAUUCCAUCAGGGUUCUAAGAAAGCAGAACCAUCUGGGGAAAUCAGCACUGCUUCACUCAGUCUCUGCCGGAAUUAAAAUGAUCUGAUGUGAAGAUGAAGGAGAAAAAAAACUCCAAAAUACUUUACUGUGGGAAUUAAACAGGGCUGUUGACCAGUAUCUAUAGUCCAGUGUGAGAGAAAAAUUAUAUUUAAAUCCUGGAAUGUAAACUAGCGUUAUAAAAAAGGAAGGAGAGAAUUUGAUUCUAUUUUAAUAGAACAGAAAUUGCUGUCCUGAAAUUGUUGUGCGUGCAUACUCUAACAAAAGCCAAUGAAUUGUUCCUAGUUAUAAAGAUGCCAGGAUGAGGCUAGCAUGUAUUAGAAUCGGUGAAAACAAUACUAAUUCUCAUUCCUAAAAUAUGACUUCAUACUCCCAGGAUUGACGAGAUGAAGGAUAUGCAGUAAAUUAGUCCAACAUCCUCUUACCUCUAGGUCUGAAC